UACAGAGGGUGCGAGCGUUAAUCGGAAUUACUGGGCGUAAAGCGUGCGUAGGUGGUUCGUUAAGUCCGUUGUGAAAGCCCCGAGCUCAACUUGGGAAUUGCAGUGGAUACUGGCGAGCUAGAGUGCGGUAGAGGAAGGUGGAAUUCCCGGUGUAGCGGUGAAAUGCGUAGAGAUCGGGAGGAACACCAGUGGCGAAGGCGGCCUUCUGGACCAG
rnacentral:rRNA from 1 species